rnacentral:tRNA from 1 species
GCCUCUGUAGCUCAAUGGUAGAGCAAUUGCUUGAAGCGUGAUCAGUCUGAGUUCAAAUCUCAGCAAAGGCA